UGAAAGUCACAAAACAUGCACUCUUAAUGGAUUCUCUUGAAAACCUAAAACCAAAUAAACCUAAGUCUUAUAAGUCUCUUUAUUUGGUUUUAUGUUUUCAAGAGAAUCCAUUAAGAGUGCUUACUUUGUGACUUUC